rnacentral:piRNA from 1 species
UAAGAUGGUAAAUAUAAAAGUGUCCCUUAA